rnacentral:rRNA from 1 species
GACGUCAUGGGCGGCGAGCGGCGGACGGGUGAGUAAUGCCUGGGAAUAUACCCUGAUGUGGGGGAUAACCAUUGGAAACGAUGGCUAAUACCGCAUAAUCUCUUCGGAGCAAAGAGGGGGACCUUCGGGCCUCUCGCGUCAGGAUUAGCCCAGGUGGGAUUAGCUAGUUGGUGGGGUAACGGCUCACCAAGGCGACGAUCCCUAGCUGGUCUGAGAGGAUGAUCAGCCACACUGGAACUGAGACACGGUCCAGACUCCUACGGGAGGCAGCAGUGGGGAAUAUUGCACAAUGGGGGAAACCCUGAUGCAGCCAUGCCGCGUGUGUGAAGAAGGCCUUCGGGUUGUAAAGCACUUUCAGCAGUGAGGAAGAGGUGCAGGUUAAUAGCCUGUAUCUUUGACGUUAGCUGCAGAAGAAGCACCGGCUAACUCCGUGCCAGCAGCCGCGGUAAUACGGAGGGUGCGAGCGUUAAUCGGAAUUACUGGGCGUAAAGCGCAUGCAGGCGGUCUGUUAAGCAAGAUGUGAAAGCCCGGGGCUCAACCUCGGAACAGCAUUUUGAACUGGCAGACUAGAGUCUUGUAGAGGGGGGCAGAAUUUCAGGUGUAGCGGUGAAAUGCGUAGAGAUCUGAAGGAAUACCGGUGGCGAAGGCGGCCCCCUGGACAAAGACUGACGCUCAGUGCGAAAGCGUGGGGAGCAAACAG